rnacentral:rRNA from 1 species
GACGAGCGCUGGCGGCGUGCUUAACACAUGCAAGUCGAACGGAAAGGCCCUGCUUUUGUGGGGUGCUCGAGUGGCGAACGGGUGAGUAACACGUGAGUAACCUGCCCUUGACUUUGGGAUAAUUUCAGGAAACUGGGGCUAAUACCGGAUAGGAGCUCCUGCUGCAUGGUGGGGGUUGGAAAGUUUCGGCGGUUGGGGAUGGACUCGCGGCUUAUCAGCUUGUUGGUGGGGUAGUGGCUUACCAAGGCUUUGACGGGUAGCCGGCCUGAGAGGGUGACCGGCCACAUUGGGACUGAGAUACGGCCCAGACUCCUACGGGAGGCAGCAGUGGGGAAUAUUGCACAAUGGGCGGAAGCCUGAUGCAGCAACGCCGCGUGCGGGAUGACGGCCUUCGGGUUGUAAACCGCUUUCGCCUGUGACGAAGCGUGAGUGACGGUAAUGGGUAAAGAAGCACCGGCUAACUACGUG